rnacentral:misc_RNA from 1 species
UUUCCGUAGGUGAACCUGCGGAAGGAUCAUUACAUUCAGUAGCCUAGCUACUUGUUUACACCCUUGUUUUUGCGUACCUAUUGUUUCCUCGGCGGGCUUGCUCGCCGGUUGGACAAAACUAUAACCUUUUUUAAAUCUUCAAUCAGCGUCUGAAUUAUACAUAAUAAUUACAACUUUCAACAACGGAUCUCUUGGUUCUG